rnacentral:rRNA from 1 species
GAUGAACGCUGGCGGCGUGCCUAACACAUGCAAGUCGAACGAGGCAAAUAAGUUGAAGUUUUCGGAUGGAUUCUUAUUUACCGAGAGGCGGACGGGUGAGUAACGCGUGGGUAACCUGCCUCAUACAGGGGGAUAACGGUUAGAAAUGACUGCUAAUACCGCAUAAGCGCACAGUACCGCAUGGUACGGUGUGAAAAACUCCGGUGGUAUGAGAUGGACCCGCGUCUGAUUAGCUAGUUGGUGAGGUAACGGCCCACCAAGGCGACGAUCAGUAGCCGACCUGAGAGGGUGACCGGCCACAUUGGGACUGAGACACGGCCCAGACUCCUACGGGAGGCAGCAGUGGGGGAUAUUGCACAAUGGAGGAAACUCUGAUGCAGCGACGCCGCGUGAGUGAAGAAGUAUUUCGGUAUGUAAAGCUCUAUCAGCAGGGAAGAAAAUGACGGUACCUGACUAAGAAGCCCCGGCUAACUACGUGCCAGCAGCCGCGGUAAUACGUAGGGGGCAAGCGUUAUCCGGAUUUACUGGGUGUAAAGGGAGCGUAGACGGCGACGCAAGUCUGAAGUGAAAUACCCGGGCUCAACCUGGGAACUGCUUUGGAAACUGUGUUGCUAGAGUGCUGGAGAGAUAAGCGGAAUUCCUAGUGUAGCGGUGAAAUGCGUAGAUAUUAGGAAGAACACCAGUGGCGAAGGCGGCUUACUGGACAGUAACUGACGUUGAGGCUCGAAAGCGUGGGGAGCAAACAGG